UGGCCGGGCGACGGUUGUCCCGGUUUAAGCGUGUAGGUGUGUGUUCCAGGUAAAUCCGGUUCACUUUAACACUGAGGCGUGACGACGAGGCACUACGGUGCUGAAGCAACAAAUGCCCUGCUUCCAGGAAAAGCCUCUAAGCAUCAGGUAACAUCAAAUCGUACCCCAAACCGACACAGGUGGUCAGGUAGAGAAUACCAAGGCGCUUGAGAGAACUCGGGUGAAGGAACUAGGCAAAAUGGUGCCGUAACUUCGGGAGAAGGCACGCUGACACGUAGGUGAAGUGAUUUACUCAUGGAGCUGAAGUCAGUCGAAGAUACCAGCUGGCUGCAACUGUUUAUUAAAAACACAGCACUGUGCAAACACGAAAGUGGACGUAUACGGUGUGACGCCUGCCCGGUGCCGGAAGGUUAAUUGAUGGGGUCAGCGCAAGCGAAGCUCCUGAUCGAAGCCCCGGUAAACGGCGGCCGUAACUAUAACGGUCCUAAGGUAGCGAAAUUCCUUGUCGGGUAAGUUCCGACCUGCACGAAUGGCGUAAUGAUGGCCAGGCUGUCUCCACCCGAGACUCAGUGAAAUUGAACUCGCUGUGAAGAUGCAGUGUACCCGCGGCAAGACGGAAAGACCCCGUGAACCUUUACUAUAGCUUGACACUGAACAUUGAGCCUUGAUGUGUAGGAUAGGUGGGAGGCUUUGAAGUGUGGACGCCAGUCUGCAUGGAGCCGACCUUGAAAUACCACCCUUUAAUGUUUGAUGUUCUAACGUGGACCCGUUACCCGGGUUGCGGACAGUGUCUGGUGGGUAGUUUGACUGGGGCGGUCUCCUCCUAAAGAGUAACGGAGGAGCACGAAGGUUGGCUAAUCCUGGUCGGACAUCAGGAGGUUAGUGCAAUGGCAUAAGCCAGCUUGACUGCGAGCGUGACGGCGCGAGCAGGUGCGAAAGCAGGUCAUAGUGAUCCGGUGGUUCUGAAUGGAAGGGCCAUCGCUCAACGGAUAAAAGGUACUCCGGGGAUAACAGGCUGAUACCGCCCAAGAGUUCAUAUCGACGGCGGUGUUUGGCACCUCGAUGUCGGCUCAUCACAUCCUGGGGCUGAAGUAGGUCCCAAGGGUAUGGCUGUUCGCCAUUUAAAGUGGUACGCGAGCUGGGUUUAGAACGUCGUGAGACAGUUCGGUCCCUAUCUGCCGUGGGCGCUGGAGAACUGAGGGGGGCUGCUCCUAGUACGAGAGGACCGGAGUGGACGCAUCACUGGUGUUCGGGUUGUCAUGCCAAUGGCACUGCCCGGUAGCUAAAUGCGGAAGAGAUAAGUGCUGAAAGCAUCUAAGCACGAAACUUGCCCCGAG
rnacentral:rRNA from 1 species